UACGGAGGAUUCAAGCGUUAUCCGGAUUUAUUGGGUUUAAAGGGUGCGUAGGCGGUCGGAUAAGUUAGAGGUGAAAUCCCGGGGCUCAACUUCGGAAUUGCCUCUGAUACUGUUCGGCUAGAGAGUAGUUGCGGUGGGCGGAAUGUAUGGUGUAGCGGUGAAAUGCUUAGAGAUCAUACAGAACACCGAUUGCGUAGGCAGCUUACCAAGCUACUUCUGACGUUGAGGCACGAAAGCGUGGGGAGCAAACAGG
rnacentral:rRNA from 1 species